rnacentral:misc_RNA from 1 species
UUAUGCUGGUUAGCUGGAGCUAAGAA